UACGUAGGAGGCGAGCGUUGUCCGGAGUUACUGGGCGUAAAGGGCGCGUAGGUGGCCGUGUGGAAGUCUGCGGUGAAAGCGCUCGGCUUAACUGGGCGAGGGCCGGGGAGACUGCCACGCUGGAGGGGAGCAGAGGCGAGUGGAAUUCCGGGUGUAGUGGUGGAAUGCGUAGAUAUCGGGAGGAACACCAGUGGGCGAAGGCGAUCACCUGGG
rnacentral:rRNA from 1 species